AUGCUUCGCCAACAAGCAGCUCUUCUAGCAGUAAACGUGCUAAGCUAUCCAAGGAUCUUGCGACCACUCAGAGAUCGGCGGCUUCCCUCGAGGAAGACCGCUGGGCGCAAUGAAUGCCCUAGUUUGGAACUGCCAGGGGGGAACCGCCGGACAGUUAGCGAGGUUUUGGCCCUCUCAAAAGCCAAUAACCCCAAGCUUGUCUUCCUGUGCGAGACUAGGCAAGCUACUAUGAAAAUAGAGAAGUUACGAUGGAGACUCGGUCUGAAAGGAUUUCAUGGUGUGAAUAGUGACGGAAGGAGUGGGGGCUUAGCACUUUUC
rnacentral:rRNA from 1 species